rnacentral:lncRNA from 1 species
UGAGAAGGCAAAGACCAGUAUAUUUAGGACUGGUUGUAUCUUAUUUUAUGAUCACCCUGCAUGUAAUUCUCUUACUCUGAUCAUCUAGGCUGUAUCUUAUUAUAUGAUCAUCCUGAAUGUAAUUCUCUUACUCUGAUCAUCUACACUCUCUCAGAGGGGCAAAGGCUUUUGUCCCAAGACACUGACCUAUUUCUAGAAUCAUGUUAAUAGAGAUCUAAAUUUGAUGCAAUUAAAAGUAUACCCUGUUCUUGGCCACACCUUAUAUAGCCACAUCCAAAGUCAUUCAUGAAUACACAUUAUGGAAGACUUGUAUUGGAAAUGAUGAGCAAGGAGCCCAAACCAGGGCACAUGUGCUUUGUGCCAAUGAGUUUGCCAUAACUAUGGAGAAGGAGUAGAAAAUGCAAUCUGGUAAACAGUAAAUGCCUACUGGAUGGCACAAGCAUGGGGCUUGAUUGUGGAGAUGAUGUGCUAGCUUUGGGAAUUCUGGCCUUGACUUUCCUGAAAUGAAAUGCUGCAACCUGGAAUUAUAAGUCACAUAAGCUUCUUUACUCAUACAUUGAUUUACAUCUGGGUGUUUGUCACAAAACCAGAAGUGAUGAGAGAACAACUUGGGUAACUUUCUUUUCUUUUUUUUUUUUCCACUUUUUAUUAGGUAUUUAGCUCAUUUACAUUUCCAAUGCUAUACCAAAAGUCCCCCAUACCCACCCACCCUCACUCCCCUACCCACCCACUCCCCCUUUUUGGCCCUGGCGUUCCCCUGUACUGGGGCAUAUAAAGUUUGUGUGUCCAAUGGGCCUCUCUUUCCAGUGAUGGCCGACUAGGCCAUCUUUUGAUACAUAUGCAGCUAGAGUCAAGAGCUCCGGGGUACUGGUUAGUUCAUAGUGUUGUUCCACCUAUAGGGUUGCAGAUCCCUUUAGCUCCUUGGGUACUUUCUCUAGCUCCUCCAUUGGGAGCCCUGUGAUCCAUCCAUUAGCUGACUGUGAGCAUCCAUGUCUGUGUUUGCUAGGCCCCGGUAUAGUCUCACAAGAGACAGCUACAUCUGGGUCCUUUCAAUAAAAUCUUGCUAGUGUAUGCAAUGGUGUCAGCGU